rnacentral:rRNA from 1 species
GUUGUUGGGUUGCCCGAGUAGCAGCGGGCUCGUGGAAUCUGCUGUGAAUCUGCCGGGACCACCCGGUAAGCCUAAAUACUCAGUGUGACCGAUAGUGUAUUAGUACCGUGAGGGAAUGGUGAAAAGUACCCCGGGAGGGGAGUGAAAUAGUUCCUGAAACCAUGUGCUUACAAUCCGUCAGAGCACUUUUUGUUGUGUGAUGGCGUGCCUUUUGAAGAAUGAGCCUGCGAGUCAGCGGCAUGUCGCGAGGUUAACCCGUGUGGGGUAGCCGUAGGGAAACCGAAUCCUAAUGGGGUGUUUUAGUGGCAUGUCCUGGACCCGAAGCGGGGUGAUCUACCCAUGGCCAGUGUGAAGCAGUAGUAAGAUGCUGUGGAGGCGCGAACCCACGUAGGUUGAAAACUGCGGGGAUGAGCUGUGGGUAGGGGUGAAAGGCCAAUCAAACUCCGUGAUAGCUGGUUCUCCCCGAAAUGCAUUUAGGUGCAGCGUCGCAUGUAGCUUGGUGGAGGUAGAGCUACUGGUUGGUUGAGCGGGACUACAAUCUUAGCAAUGUCAGCCAAACUCCGAAUGCCAUCAAUGUGUUGUGCGGCAGUGAGACUGUGGGGGAUAAGCUUCAUAGUCGAGAGGGAAACAGCCCAGAUCGCCGGUUAAGGCCCCUAAGGGUGUGCUAAGUGGAAAAGGAUGUGGGAUCGCGAAGACAGCCAGGAGGUUGGCUUAGAAGCAGCCAUCCUUGAAAGAGUGCGUAAUAGCUCACUGGUCGAGUGGUCCUGCGCCGACAAUGUAGUGGGGCUCAAGCACACCGCCGAAGCCGCGGCAAACAUUUUUUGUUUGGGUAGGGGAGCGUCGUGCAUGUGUUGAAGCGUUACCGUAAGGAGGCGUGGAGUGUGUGCGAGUGAGAAUGCAGGCAUGAGUAACGAAUUGGAAGGUGAGAAUCCUUCCCGCCGGAUGACUAAGGGUUCCUGGGUCAAGUUCGUCUUCCCAGGGUGAGUCGGGACCUAAGGCGAGGCCGACAGGCGUAGUCGAUGGAUAACCAGUUGAUAUUCUGGUACCCGUAU